rnacentral:rRNA from 1 species
UGUUUAAACCCCAAAGAACUUGGCGGCAUCCAAACCACUCAGGGGAACCUGUCCCUUAAUUCGAUACUCCACGAAUAUCUAACCUACCCUCGACCACAAACCACCCCACACCUGCAGCCUUUGUAUUGCCGUCAUAAGCACACCUUAAAAAGUUAGUGUACAAUGUAAUUCACCAUUCAUAUGUCAGGUAAAAGUGUAGCCAACGGGUAGGGGGUGAUGGGUUACAGCUCGAACUAAAACAUCUUAAAAUUCUUAAACAAAUUAUUCUAAAGUUGGACUUGAUAGUAAUUUACUUAAUUAAAAAUAAAUGAACCCGAAUCUAGGAUGUGCACAAAUCGCCCGUCGCUCCGGUCGAAAGAUC